UGUAGUUAGUGGCAUUGUAGUUGUAAUUAGUGGAGUUGUAGUUUCAGGUUCAUCAGUUGAGAUUUCUGGGGUUGAUGUUUUGGUGGUCAGUGGUGUCUCUGUUGUAAUUGUUGUAAGUGGGGUUGUAGUUGUAGGUUCCUCAGUUGUUUUUGUAGUGGUGGUUCCUGUUGUAGUACUUGUGAAGGUUGACACUUGAAAAUCUGGACUAGAGUGGGUGGACGUGGUCCCAGUUUCUAUGUUUGGUGCUGUUGUUUCUGUUGUGUACACAACUGUAGUUAUGGGUGUCUCUGUUGUACUUGUAGUUAGUGGCAUUGUGGUUGUAGUUAGUGGAGAAGUAGUUUCAGGUUCAUCAGUUGAGAUUUCUGGGGUUGAUGUUUUGGUGGUCAGUGGUGUCUCUGUUGUAAUUGUUGUAAGUGGGGUUGUAGUUGUAGGUUCCUCAGUUGUUUUUGUAGUGGUGGUUCCUGAUGUAGUACUUGUGAAGGUUGACACUUGAAAAUCUGGACUGGAGUGGGUGGACGUGGUCCCAGUUUCUAUGUUUGGUGCUGUUGUUUCUGUUGUGUACACAACUGUGGUUAUGGGUGUCUCUGUUGUACUUGUAGUUAGUGGCAUUGUAGUUGUAGUUAGUGGAGUUGUAGUUUCAGGUUCAUCAGUUGAGAUUUCUGGGGUUGAUGUUUUGGUGGUCAGUGGUGUCUCUGUUGUAAUUGUUGUAAGUGAGGUUGUAGUUUCAGGUUCAUCAGUUGAGAUUUCUGGGGUUGAUGUUUUGGUGGUCAGUGGUGUCUCUGUUGUAAUUGUUGUAAGUGGGGUUGUAGUUGUAGGUUCAUCAGUUGAGAUUUCUGGGGUUGAUGUUUUGGUGGUCAGUGGUGUCUCUGUUGUAAUUGUUGUAAGUGGGGUUGUAGUUGUAGGUUCCUCAGUUGUUUUUGUAGUGGUGGUUCCUGAUGUAGUACUUGUGAAGGUUGACACUUGAAAAUCUGGACUGGAGUGGGUGGACAUGGUCCCAGUUUCUAUGUUUGGUGCUGUUGUUUCUGUUGUGUACACAACUGUGGUUAUGGGUGUCUCUGUUGUACUUGUAGUUAAUGGCAUUGUAGUUGUAGUUAGUGGAGUUGUAGUUUCAGGUUCAUCAGUUGAGAUUUCUGGGGUUGAUGUUUUGGUGGUCAGUGGUGUCUCUGUUGUAAUUGUUGUAAGUGGGGUUGUAGUUGUAGGUUCCUCAGAUGUUUUUGUAGUGGUGGUUCCUGAUGUAGUACUUGUGAAGGUUGACACUUGAAAAUCUGGACUAGAGUGGGUGGACGUGGUCCCAGUUUCUAUGUUUGGUGCUGUUGUUUCUGUUGUGUACACAACUGUGGUUAUGGGUGUCUCUAUUGUACUUGUAGUUAGUGGCAUUGUAGUUGUAGUUAGUGGAGUUGUAGUUUCAGGUUCAUCAGUUGAGAUUUCUGGGGUUGAUGUUUUGGUGGUCAGUGGUGUCUCUGUUGUAAUUGUUGUAAGUGGGGUUGUAGUUGUAGGUUCCUCAGUUGUUUUUGUAGUGGUGGUUCCUGAUGUAGUACUUGUGAAGGUUGACACUUGAAAAUCUGGACUAGAGUGGGUGGACAUGGUCCCAGUUUCUAUGUUUGGUGCUGUUGUUUCUACAACUGUGGUUAUGGGUGUCUCCGUUGUACUUGUAGU